GAUGAACGCUAGCGGCAGGCUUAAUACAUGCAAGUCGUGGGGCAGCAGGGGUGUAGCAAUACAUCUGCUGGCGACCGGCAAACGGGUGCGUAACACGUACGCAACCUUCCCGUUACUGUGGCAUGGCCCAGGGAAACUUGGAUUAAUACCACAUAUUAUAUAGAGAGGGCAUCCUUUUUAUAUCAAAGCUUCGGCGGUAACGGAUGGGCGUGCGGUUGAUUAGGUAGUUGGCGGGGUAACGGCCCACCAAGCCUACGAUCAAUAGCUGAUGUGAGAGCAUGAUCAGCACACGGGCACUGAGACACGGGCCCGACUACUACGGGAGGCGGCAGUAAGGAAUAUUGGGCAAUGGACGAAAGUCUGACCCAGCCAUGCCGCGUGAAGGAUUAAGGUCCUCUGGAUUGUAAACUUCUUUUCUCUGGGGCGAAAACCAGCUAUUCUUAGCUAUUUGACAGUACCAGAGGAAUAAGCACCGGCUAACUCCGUGCCAGCCGCCGCAGUAACAC
rnacentral:rRNA from 1 species